ACUGAACCCUGAAACAAGGCAAAACUUUGGUCUGGGGUCCUCAGAACAAGCUGGGACAUUGUAGAGCAACUCCCAGCUCCAAAGCUGCUCAGCUGAGAGAUUAGGGACAUCUCUUAGCCUCCUUGGGCUGCUGUUUCCUAGAAACCAGGCUCUGAUAUUUGGAAUGAUCAUCCAGUCCUCUUCUGAUGUCUAAAUUAGCUUUGCUUUGUGUCUGCGUGGUGACCCAGGCUCCCACACACAACUAUGGUCAGGAAACUCACUACAUUUUGGUGCAGCAAUUUUUGGAUAUAAUAUUCUUCCAGUAAAUGAAUUCCAUAUACCUCAAAUUCUUGGCUCUCAUUAUACCUCCAUCCAUUUUAUCCAUUCCUUCUUCAAACAUUUACCCACAUACCUGGUAAGUGCAGUCUAAGGUCUCUCUUGACCAGUGUCCUGAAUGGAGAGCUCAGCAUGUUAUCCCUGUUACAGUGCUGCCCCCUGCUGGACACUGAUUUCUGGCACUUGUUACCUGGUAUCUGCUGACUCAGGAGGCAUCCUGGAGUGGCUCCUCUAGUCCUGGUCCUGCCUCCAUGCCCAGGGACCCUGUGAUCCUCAGAUGUGAAGAUGGGGUAUUCUCAGUGAUCCUGACUGUUGGGAGUCGCCCCAGCUCCAAAGACUAACAUCCCCAUCCCCCAGAAGAGCCUUUCAAUGGUGAGCCCUGCUGGCUCACAAGAUCCUUACCCACCAAUCAGACUAUCCCUGCUGACUCACAUGAUCCUUAUCCACCAAUCAGAAAGCAUCCCAUGCCAACCGUCAAACCAUUAAACAGUUAAACUGUCAUAACUGUCAUAACCCCCGGCUCUAUAAAUAAGCAGUGCUGUUCCUCAUUAAUCAGCAUAUUCUCCGAUGAUGA